rnacentral:rRNA from 1 species
UACGUAGGGUGUAAGCGUUGUCCGGAAUUAUUGGGCGUAAAGAGCUCGUAGGCGGUUUGUCGCGUCGAAUGUGAAAACCCGGGGCUCAACCCCGGGCCUGCAUUCGAUACGGGCAGACUAGAGUUCGGUAGGGGAGUCUGGAAUUCCUGGUGUAGCGGUGAAAUGCGCAGAUAUCAGGAGGAACACCGGUGGCGAAGGCGGGACUCUGGGCCGAUACUGACGCUGAGGAGCGAAAGCGUGGGGAGCGAACAGG